GACGAACGCUGGCGGCGUGCCUAACACAUGCAAGUCGAACGGAGUUAUUACUUAAGUUUACUUUUGUAAUGACUUAGUGGCGAACGGGUGAGUAACGCGUGGGUAACCUGCCCUUAAGAUUGGGACAACAGCUGGAAACGGCUGCUAAUACCGAAUGGAUUUACCGGAAGGCAUCUUCUGGUAAGGAAAGCUGGCCUCUGAACAUGCUAGCGCUUAAGGAUGGACCCGCGUCUGAUUAGCUAGUUGGUAAGGUAACGGCUUACCAAGGCGACGAUAGGUAGCCGGCCUGAGAGGGUAAUCGGCCACACUGGGACUGAGACACGGCCCAGACUCCUACGGGAGGCAGCAGUGGGGAAUCUUCCGCAAUGGACGAAAGUCUGACGGAGCAACGCCGCGUGUAUGAAGAAGGCCUUCGGGUUGUAAAAUACUGUUGUUAGGGAAGAACGGCAUCUGUGUAAAUAAUGCAGGUGAUUGACGGUACCUAACGAGGAAGCCCCGGCUAACUACGUGCCAGCAGCCGCGGUAAUACGUAGGGGGCGAGCGUUGUCCGGAAUUAUUGGGCGUAAAGGGCGCGUAGGCGGCCAUUUAAGUCUGAUGUGAAAGUGCGGGGCUUAACC
rnacentral:rRNA from 1 species